rnacentral:rRNA from 1 species
CAGCAGCCACGGUAAUACGAAGGGUGCAAGCGUUAAUCGGAAUUACUGGGCGUAAAGCGUGCGUAGGCGGUUUGUUAAGUCUGUUGUGAAAUCCCCGGGCUCAACCUGGGAAUGGCAAUGGAUACUGGCAAGCUAGAGUGUGUCAGAGGAUGGUGGAAUUCCCGGUGUAGCGGUGAAAUGCGUAGAGAUCGGGAGGAACAUCAGUGGCGAAGGCGGCCAUCUGGGACAACACUGACGCUCAGGUGCGAAAGCGUGGGGAGCAAACAGGAUUAGAUACCCGCGUAGUCCCUGUCUCUUAUAC